rnacentral:rRNA from 1 species
UACUAUUAGGGUUCGACUAAGCCAUGCAAGUCAGAGGGGCUCUUCGGAGUCACAGGCAAAAUGCUCAGUAACACGUCGUUAAUCUAACCUUAGAUCUGGAAUAACCUUGGAAAACUGAGGCUAAAACCGGAUAUGGGAAAAUAAUUGGAAAAUGUUUUCCUUUAAAAGCAAUGUCUAAGGAUGAGACGGCGGCGGAUUAGGUUGUUGGCGGGGUAAUGGCCCACCAAGCCGACGAUCCGUAGGGGCCGUGAGAGCGGUAGCCCCGAGAAGGACACUGAGAUACUGGUCCUAGCCCUACGGGGUGCAGCAGGCGCGAAACCUUUACAAUGCACGAAAGUGUGAUAAGGGAACCCUAAGUGCUCAUGUUUUACAUGGGCUUUUGCCAAGAAUAAAUAUCUUGGCGAAUAAGUGGUGGGAAAGACUGGUGCCAGCAGCCGCGGUAACACCAGCGCCACAAGUAGGGACCACUACUAUUGGGCCUAAAGCGUCCGUAGCCGGCUGAAUAAAUUUCUUGUGAAAUUGUUGGGCUUAACCUAACAACGUGCAGGAAAAACUGUUCAGCUUGGAACCGGGAGAAGUCAGGAGUAUGCUGGGGGGAGCGGUAAAAUGUUAUAAUCCCCGGUAGACUACCAGUGGCGAAGGCGCCUGACUAGAACGGAUUCGACGGUGAGGGACGAAAGCCAGGGGAGCGAAGCGGAUUAGAUACCCGUGUAGUCCUGGCCGUAAACGCUGCGAGCUAGGUGUUGCAUAUUCUACAUGAAUAUGCAGUAUCGAAGCGAAGGUGAUAAGCUCGCCGCCUGGGAAGUAUGGUCGCAAGGCUGAAACUUAAAGGAAUUGGCGGGGGAGCACUACAAGGGGUGCGGCGUGCGGUUUAAUCUAAUUCAACGCAGAGAAUCUCACCAGAAGCGACGGCAGGAUGAAAGUCAGGCUAAAGGUCUUACUUGACGAGCCGAGAGGUAGUGCAUGGCCGCCGUCAGCUCGUGCUGUAAAGUGUCCUGUUAAGUCAGGCAACGAGCGAGACCUGCAUCUACAAUUGCUAACGGAUUCUUUAGAAUGACUGAGCACAUUGUGGAGACUGCCCUGGAAACAGGGAGGAAGGUGCAGGCUACGGUAGGUCUGUAUGCUCCGAAUCUUCUGGGCUACACGCGCGCAACAAUGGUAAGGACAAUGGGAUGCGACUCCGAAAGGAGGAGCUAAUCCUCGAAACCUUAUCCAAGUCUAGAUUGAGGAUUGUAACUCAUCCUCAUGACAAUGGAAUCCCUAGUAAUCAGAGUUUAUCAUACUCCGGUGAACAUGUCCCUGCUCCUUGCACACACCGCCCGUCAAGCCACCCGAGUAGGGUUUAGGUGAGAGGUAAAUUUUAUUUGCAUCGAACCUAAGCUCAGCGAGGAGGGCUAAGUCGUCACAAGGUA